rnacentral:rRNA from 1 species
GAUGAACGCUGGCGGCGUGCCUAAUACAUGCAAGUCGAGCGAACGGACGAGAAGCUUGCUUCUCUGAUGUUAGCGGCGGACGGGUGAGUAACACGUGGAUAACCUACCUAUAAGACUGGGAUAACUUCGGGAAACCGGAGCUAAUACCGGAUAAUAUUUUGAACCGCAUGGUUCAAAAGUGAAAGACGGUCUUGCUGUCACUUAUAGAUGGAUCCGCGCUGCAUUAGCUAGUUGGUAAGGUAACGGCCUACCAAGGCAACGAUGCAUAGCCGACCUGAGAGGGUGAUCGGCCACACUGGAACUGAGACACCGUCCAGACUCCUACGGGAGGCAGCAGUCGGGAACCUUCCGCAAUGGGCGAAAGCCUGACGGAGUAACGCCGCGUGAGUGAUGACGGUCUUCGGAUCGUAAAACUCUGUUAUUAGGGAAGAACAUAUGUGUAAGUAACUGUGCACAUCUUGACGGUACCUAAUCAGAAAGCCACGGCUAACUACGUG